UGAGGAAUUUUCCGCAAUGGGCGCAAGCCUGACGGAGCGACGCCGCGUGAGGGAUGAAGGCUUUCGGGUUGUAAACCUCUUUUGUUUGGGAAAAAGGUCCGCGUGCUCAUACCACGUGGAUUUGAUGGUACUAAGCGAAUAAGCCCCGGCUAACUACGUGCCAGCAGCCGCGGUAAUACGUAGGGGGCGAGCGUUGUCCGGAAUUACUGGGCGUAAAGGGCGUGUAGGCUGUUGGGUAAGUCUGGUGUGAAAUGCUACGGCUCAACCGUGGCACUGCGCUGGAAACUGCCUGACUGGAGUGCAGGAGGGGUCACUGGAAUCCCCGGUGUAACGGUGAAAUGUGUAGAUAUCGGGGGGAACACCUGUGGCGAAGGCGGGUGACUGGCCUGCAACUGACGCUGAGACGCGAAAGCGUGGGGAGCAAACAG
rnacentral:rRNA from 1 species